CUUGUCUUUGGAAUGCUCUCCCUCCUUUUUUCUUCCUCCUAACCUCCUCGAGGAGGCUCAACUCUUACUUUCUGCAGCGAGGCAGAAGUUCUAGACUAUACUGCUAAUGACUUCCCUCUGCUGCUGAUAUAUGAAAGAGGGCUGUGUGAUUCUGGCUCUAAUUUCCACUGAAAGUAGGAGGUUUAUGGCCUUUUCUUAGGUCUUUCCCACAUACUACAUUCUUCAAGCUGUGUCUCCCUGGUAGAAAGUGAACUGCUUGAAGGCCCGGGGAACAUUGCAAGUAACUCUCUAUUUAAUGAGAAGACUUCUGGUGAACGUAGGUAAGAUCUUAAAGACUUUAAUUGCUCCCUGGGG
rnacentral:lncRNA from 1 species